UACAGAGGUCUCAAGCGUUGUUCGGAUUCAUUGGGCGUAAAGGGUGCGUAGGUGGCGCCAUAAGUCGGGUGUGAAAUCUCGGGGCUUAACUCCGAAACUGCAUUCGAUACUGCCGUGCUUGAGGACUGGAGAGGAGACUGGAAUUUACGGUGUAGCGGUGAAAUGCGUAGAUAUCGUAAGGAAGACCAGUGGCGAAGGCGGGUCUCUGGACAGUUCCGUGACGCUGAGGCGACGAAGGCCAGGGGAGCAAACGGG
rnacentral:rRNA from 1 species